UACGGGGGGAGCAAGCGUUGUUCGGAUUUACUGGGCGUAAAGGGCGCGUAGGCGGCCAGUGCAAGUCAGUUGUGAAAUCUCCGAGCUUAACUCGGAAAGGUCAACUGAUACUGUCGGGCUAGAGUGCGGAAGAGGCGAGUGGAAUUCCUGGUGUAGCGGUGAAAUGCGCAGAUAUCAGGAGGAACACCAAUUGCGAAGGCAGCUCGCUGGGACGUAACUGACGCUGAGACGCGAAAGCGUGGGAGCAAACAGG
rnacentral:rRNA from 1 species